GGCUUUGAGGUGUUAUCACGUCAGAUUGCAAAUCUGAAGAAGCCGGCUAGUUGCCGGCCGGGGCCU
rnacentral:tRNA from 1 species